rnacentral:sRNA from 1 species
AUCAACACGCUGCCCGAUCAGAUGUAGUGUACCUGUUCGAGAGAAGGAGGAGGAGUAGGCCGACACCUGCCGCCAUUCCAAGCGUUUCUCGAUACGUCACAGAGACCCAGAGCCAAUGUCUGGGCGAGCAAUUAAUUUGACAUGCAAGCGGGACCCAGCCUGGCUUUACUCCGUUGGGACGGCGGUAAAAAAGGCCACGGAAAAUGCUCGUAAAUCGGUAUCUGCAAAAGGCCUCAAGACAGCCAGCGAGUGGGAGAGCCGCUUACGGAGAUCUGAGCACUGCGAUUUCCACGGAUCUGGUUGAGGAUGAUGGCUGGGCACGACUUCGCUGCAGUGCGGUAAUGUGUUUAGAGGAGGUGGAUCAACCGGGCGGAUCAAUCAAAUGCCAGUCAAAGCAAUUUUCGGUAGCAAACAAAUUCGAACGCAAUAACUGCUUGAUAAAUCGCUGGAAAUUCAAUUAAACUGCUCGCUUAGUAGAAAAUAAAGCGGCCCGGCUAGUUCAUAAUUAUA